GGAAGGAUCAUUACUGAGUGCCGGUCCCUCGUGGACCGAACCUCCCACCCUUGUCUCUUGUAUACCCUGUUGCUUUGGCGGGCCCACUGGGAAUCCCCAGUCGCCGAGGGGCACUGUGCCCCUGGGCCCGUGCCCGCCAGAGCGCCCUUGAACCCUAAUGAAGAUGGACUGUCUGAGCAUGAUUGAUAAUAAUCAAAACUUUCAACAAUGGAUCUCUUGGUUCCGGCAUCGAUGAAGAACGCAGCGAAAUGCGAUAAGUAAUGUGAAUUGCAGAAUUCCGUGAAUCAUCGAAUCUUUGAACGCACAUUGCGCCCCCUGGCAUUCCGGGGGGCAUGCCUGUCCGAGCGUCAUUUCUGCCCUCAAGCACGGCUUGUGUGUUGGGUGUGGUCCCCCUGGGGACCUGCCUGAAAGGCAGUGGCGACGCCCGCCUAGGUCCUCGAGCGUAUGGGGCUUUGUCACCCGCUCGGGAAGGAUCUACGGGCGUUGGUCUUCCAUAUUUUUUUCCACGGUUGACCUCGGAUCAGGUAGGAGUUACCCGCUGAACUUAAGCAUAUCAAUAAGCGGAGGAAAAGAAACCAACCGGGAUUGCCUCAGUAACGGCGAGUGAAGCGGCAAGAGCUCAAAUUUGAAAUCUGGCCCCUUUGGGGUCCGAGUUGUAAUUUGGAGAGGAUGCUUCGGGUGCGGCCCCUGUCUAAGUGCCCUGGAACGGGCCGUCAUAGAGGGUGAGAAUCCCGUCUGGGAUGGGCGGCCGUGCCCGUGUGAAGCUCCUUCGACGAGUCGAGUUGUUUGGGAAUGCAGCUCUAAGCGGGUGGUAAAUUUCAUCUAAAGCUAAAUACUGGCCGGAGACCGAUAGCGCACAAGUAGAGUGAUCGAAAGAUGAAAAGCACUUUGAAAAGAGAGUUAAACAGCACGUGAAAUUGUUGAAAGGGAAGCGUUGGCCACCAGACGCGCCCGAGGGGGUUCAGCCGGCACUUGUGCCGGUGCACUCCCCCCCGGGUGGGCCAGCAUCGGUUUGGGCGGUCGCUGAAAGGCUCCAGGAAUGUAGCACCCUCCGGGGUGCCUUAUAGCCUGGGGUGUCAUGCGGCCUGCCUGGACCGAGGCCCGCGCUUCGGCGAGGAUGCUGGCGUAAUGGUGGUCAACGGCCCGUCUUGAAACACGGACCAAGGAGUCUAACAUCUAUGCGAGUGUUCGGGUGUCAAACCCGUCCGCGCAGUGAAAGCGAACGCAGGUGGGAACCCUUCGGGGCGCACCAUCGACCGAUCCUGAUGUCUUCGGAUGGAUUUGAGUAAGAGCAUAGCUGUUGGGACCCGAAAGAUGGUGAACUAUGCCUGAAUAGGGCGAAGCCAGAGGAAACUCUGGUGGAGGCUCGCAGCGGUUCUGACGUGCAAAUCGAUCGUCAAAUUUGGGUAUAGGGGCGAAAGACUAAUCGAACCAUCUGGUAGCUGGUUCCUGC
rnacentral:misc_RNA from 1 species